rnacentral:rRNA from 1 species
UGGUUACCAUUAUAAGUAUUGAUUGUUGGGCUCGCACAGUCAUUGGAACGUAAGCCUUUAAAUUGAGUGUUGAACCCAUUUUUAUCACGUGGACGCCUGCCUCAGGCUGGGGAUAACAUUUGUAAACAGAUGCUAAUACCGAAUAAAACUUAGUGUCGCAUGACACAAAGUUAAAAGGCGCUUCGGCGUCACCUAGAGAUGGAUCCGCGGUGCAUUAGUUAGUUGGUGGGGUAAAGGCCUACCAAGACAAUGAUGCAUAGCCGAGUUGAGAGACUGAUCGGCCACAUUGGGACUGAGACACGGCCCAAACUCCUACGGGAGGCUGCAGUAGGGAAUCUUCCACAAUGGGCGAAAGCCUGAUGGAGCAACGCCGCGUGUGUGAUGAAGGCUUUCGGGUCGUAAAGCACUGUUGUAUGGGAAGAACAGCUAGAAUAGGAAAUGAUUUUAGUUUGACGGUACCAUACCAGAAAGGGACGGCUAAAUACGUGCCAGCAGCCGCGGUAAUACGUAUGUCCCGAGCGUUAUCCGGAUUUAUUGGGCGUAAAGCGAGCGCAGACGGUUUAUUAAGUCUGAUGUGAAAGCCCGGAGCUCAACUCCGGAAUGGCAUUGGAAACUGGUUAACUUGAGUGCAGUAGAGGUAAGUGGAACUCCAUGUGUAGCGGUGGAAUGCGUAGAUAUAUGGAAGAACACCAGUGGCGAAGGCGGCUUACUGGACUGCAACUGACGUUGAGGCUCGAAAGUGUGGGUAGCAAACAGGAUUAGAUACCCUGGUAGUCCACACCGUAAACGAUGAACACUAGGUGUUAGGAGGUUUCCGCCUCUUAGUGCCGAAGCUAACGCAUUAAGUGUUCCGCCUGGGGAGUACGACCGCAAGGUUGAAACUCAAAGGAAUUGACGGGGACCCGCACAAGCGGUGGAGCAUGUGGUUUAAUUCGAAGCAACGCGAAGAACCUUACCAGGUCUUGACAUCCUUUGAAGCUUUUAGAGAUAGAAGUGUUCUCUUCGGAGACAAAGUGACAGGUGGUGCAUGGUCGUCGUCAGCUCGUGUCGUGAGAUGUUGGGUUAAGUCCCGCAACGACCGCAACCCUUAUUGUUAGUUGCCAGCAUUCAGAUGGGCACUCUAGCGAGACUGCCGGUGACAAACCGGAGGAAGGGGGGGGACGACGUCAAAUCAUCAUGCCCCUUAUGACCUGGGCUACCCCCGUGCUACAAUGGGCGUUUACAACGAAGUUGCCAACCCCCGAGGGGGAGACUAUUUUUUUAUGUACGUCCCCAUUUCGGUUUUUAUUUUGCCACCCCAACUCUAUGAAGUCG